rnacentral:lncRNA from 1 species
AUAUCAAAACCACUGGCACCGAAACGCAGCCUGAGUGAUCGGCCAAUUUUCUAUGCCCAGGUUCUCAAGCAUUCCAGAGGGAUUACCAAGAUAUUGCCCUCCCCGAUCAUUUCUUCUGCUCCUUCAAUUGAAACACUCAUGAAGACUCUUACUGGGGUCCCGGCUGCCGAUCUCCCAAAUUUUGGCAAACGCAAGGAUCCUUCUUCGAGAAUUGCCGGGUUAUCACCCAAGAGGGCUAAGGCCGAUGAUUCUGCUGGGACAAGUGAAAGCGUCAUCGUUGAUAGACCCAUCGGCCCCAUCGGCACAAGAACCGUCCCCAUCGGCUCAAGCUGCUCCGUCUGUCCAAGCCGUUACCGAAGAAAUUACAUCCACCUCUUCUAA